AGCCAUCACCCAGUCUUCUCUUAUGCUGUAUGUCUAUCUGUAACUGAGUACCAGGAGCGACCUGGACUAUCCAGGAGCGACCUGGAAUGGCUAUCUCAUGCCAUAUCUCUGUAGUAGUAUCUUAUCUCAUGUCAAGGGCUAAGGAUCAUCCAACGUUCAUCCACACCACAACAACAACUUAUGCAAUGCAUAAAAUUCGUGGAUUCUAAUGCAAUACAACCUAUUACAUAACAUGGCAUUUUAUGAUGCAUGGAUCAUGCUAGAAUCGUGUCAUUUCUCAAAAUAAAAUAUUCAGUUUAGUUCCACUCACCUCUAGCCAAUGCUGGCUAACUCUGGGCCAACUCUAACUCUGGAGCCUCCUCGGUUCCUCGGUC
rnacentral:lncRNA from 1 species